rnacentral:lncRNA from 1 species
GAAGAAUAAAAAUAAAAAAAAAAAAAAGAAACGUAGAAUAACAAUAUGUCACCCCAACUCCGUUGAGGGUGCCAUAAUGAUACGCGAAGCGAAUUAAAGGUUUUUUCUUUCAUGAAUUCAACGGAGAAGAUACGUGUAUUGGUUGAUUGAAGGUUUGUGAUCAUGAUUGAUCAAUCAAUCAAUUGAUCGAUCGUUUGAUUGAUUGAUUGAUUGAUCGAAUGAUUGACAGUUCGUAAAAAUAGCGAUGGGACGUUUAUUUCGGAUUCUGCACUUGAUUGAUAUCAACACUUGAUUGAUUGAUCGAUCUCUAAUCAUGAUUUGAUCAAUGUGAUCAUGAUUUGAUCACUGAUCACUCUGAUCAUGAUUUGAUUUUGAUUGAUUGAUUUCGAUGAUGACAGUUUAUAGCGAUUUAUUUCGAUUCUGCAUUGAUUGAUUACUUGUUUGAUAUCAACACUGGAUUGAUUGAUCGAUCUCUAAUCAUGAUUUAAUCAAUGUGAUCAUGAUUUGAUCACUUAUCAUGAUUUGGUUGAUUGAUCAAUACUUUGUAGCCGAAAAUGACAUAUUUUGCAUGGUUUUUUUAUUGUCUAUACGUUUCAUGCUGUUCAGUGACAAAUAUCUCACGCACAAUUUUGCAUGUAGUAUUGAGAAAACUCUAUUUGCUUUUCUUACAUCCGAAAAAAAAAUGAAUUGCGAAUGAGUUAUUAUAACACUAGAUUUGCUAUUGCAAGCAAUAGCGGACGAUGGCACCCCGUACUGCACAUUGUCACAGUAGCAUCAACAAUUAUGAGUGUACAAAAGUCAAAUGGCAUAUCUAUUAUACAUGUCGGAAUCAGCAUGUCUAAACACCCCCCCCCCCCUUUUUUUUUUUCUCUUCCGUAGAAUACGUUUCAGUUCUAUACAUAGUUUGGGAAUCCUUUUUAAAUCUAAAAUUAGACACGCGCGCAAGUAGGAAGGUGGUGUCACGUGAUACUGAAGUAUAUUAUCGUGGACUUAGCAUAUUAAUAUUCUUUUUAGAGGGGACGUAGGACAGACAACAUGUGUAUAUAUUGACGGAGCGGCGUAUUAACUGUUCAAUUUAUUCUUCAAUAGCUCGCGUAUCACACAAUACAUGUAACUUAUCGUGUACAAUUUAAUUACAUGUUUAUCGAUUGAUUUCAGCUAAUGUGUAUAUUUUAGCAGGUGUGUCAUUCACGGAUAUGUACUUUAACGCAAGUGCAGAAAUGUCAGUAAUUUGUACUCUGAGUGUUUCUCGUUCUCUCGGUGGCGAUUUUCUCUUUAAAGCACAUUAAAUAAAUAUACAUAUUUUUAUUCUAGAAUAUUCUAGUACAUGUUAGCAGUACAGCAUUGCAUGUGACCAUAUGCACAUACUCCUAAUUACGAUUUCCGUGGAAUUGUUGUUAUAUUUUUAAAGAAAAUGCAGCUUAAAUGCAUUUUCCCAUAGGGUCAAUGUUAAACUUUUGUCCAGUUUCCAUGGCAAUGGCAGCCAUUUUGAAAAUUCCAAGUACUGUUGGUACCUCGGGCAUACCACAUUUAAUGUCUCUAACAAAAUUUAACAUUGAUGUUCUGGAAAGUUUUAAAAUUCAAAGUUUUGACCUUUUUGCAUUGUUUCCAUGGUAACGAUAUUUUGGAAAUUCCAACGCCAAAUUCCACAUCUUCCAAUGUUGCUCAUCGUUACUGUGAAGUUUCAAUAAGUUUGGAACAUUUUGAGAUUUUUGAAAUUUUUGGUGUUGUUUCCAUGGCAACAUAGUAGUUCCAAUGAGUACCAAAAUCAUCCAACACCUGUAUAUAGUGGGCACCUACAUUGUAUUAACAUAUAAUGAUUCUGAAUUAAAGCUAUUCAAAUAGUCCACCAAAACAAAAAACGGGAUUUUUUCACAUUUGUUUCGUUUCCAUGGCAACGGUAGCCAUCUUGAUGGUGCCAUACCCCACUGCACUAUACAAUGGUGGUCUACAUUAUGGUAUAGUUCCAUCAACAUGGGUCUGACCAAUUACGAGAAAUAGCGUGGACAAAAUGUGUGGAAGAAUAAAAAUAAAAAGAAAAAAAAAGAAACGUAGAAUAACAAUAUGUCACCCCAACUCCGUUGAGGGUGCCAUAAUGAUACGCGAAGCGAAUUAAAGGUUUUUUCUUUCAUGAAUUCAACGGAGAAGAUACGUGUAUUGGUUGAUUGAAGGUUUGUGAUCAUGAUUGAUCAAUCAAUCAAUUGAUCGAUCGUUUGAUUGAUUGAUUGAUUGAUCGAAUGAUUGACAGUUCGUAAAAAUAGCGAUGGGACGUUUAUUUCGGAU